UCAGCAGCAGAACAGUCUGGUGACGCGGAAAGGAGGAAAGCAGCUCAGCAGCCUCUGUCCUGGAAAUAGAAAGAGCAUUUCUGAAAGGGCUGAGUCAAAAUGAGCAUUGAUCAGUAUGUGUUAUGGGAUUAAACACUUUGUACUGAUGCAGCCACUGGGCAGACAUAGCUGCACAACUUCAAGCGAAGCCCAAUUACCUGCUGAUUACCUUCAGCAAGCAGCCUUCAUCUGGACAUACAGUAAAAAGAGGAACAUCCAUUUGUCAAGGGAUGGGAAGAUACAGGCUGUGACAUUCUCCCUUCUGCUCCUCUCCGUCACCACCACUUUUCUGCUCAGUGUAUUCAACAACAUGGUGGGAAGAAAUGUUUGGAUUUCUGAUGUUUUACGGUCAGAGAUUGGUUCUCGAAGGCAAAUAAAAGUCUUUUUUGCUUGGUACAUCA